rnacentral:rRNA from 1 species
UGGGGAAUAUUGCACAAUGGGCGCAAGCCUGAUGCAGCCAUGCCGCGUGUGUGAAGAAGGCCUUCGGGUUGUAAAGCACUUUCAGCGAGGAGGAAGGUGGUGAACUUAAUACGUUCAUCAAUUGACGUUACUCGCAGAAGAAGCACCGGCUAACUCCGUGCCAGCAGCCGCGGUAAUACGGAGGGUGCAAGCGUUAAUCGGAAUUACUGGGCGUAAAGCGCACGCAGGCGGUUUGUUAAGUCAGAUGUGAAAUCCCCGGGCUCAACCUGGGAACUGCAUUUGAAACUGGCAAGCUAGAGUCUCGUAGAGGGGGGUAGAAAUUCCAGGUGUAGCGGUGAAAUGCGUAGAGAUCUGGAGGAAUACCGGUGGCGAAGGCGGCCCCCUGGACGAAGACUGACGCUCAGGUGCGAAAAGCGUGGGGAGC